GACGAACGCUGGCGGCGUGCUUAACACAUGCAAGUCGAACGGAAAGGCCCUGCUUUUGUGGGGUGCUCGAGUGGCGAACGGGUGAGUAACACGUGAGUAACCUGCCCUUGACUUUGGGAUAACUUCAGGAAACUGGGGCUAAUACCGUAUAGGAGCUCCUGCUGCAUGGUGGGGGUUGGAACGUUUCGGCGGGUGGGGAUGGACUCGCGGCUUUUCAGCUUGUUGGUGGGGUAGUGGCUUACCAAGGCUUUGACGGGUAGCCGGCCUGAGAGGGUGACCGGCCACAUUGGGACUGAGAGACGGCCCAGACUCGUACGGGAGGCAGCAGUGGGGAAUAUUGCACAAUGGGCGGAAGCCUGAUGCAGAAACGCCGCGUGCGGGAUGACGGCCUUCGGGUUGUAAACCGCUUUCGCCUGUGACGAAGCGUGAGUGACGGUAAUGGGUAAAGAAGCACCGGCUAACUACGUG
rnacentral:rRNA from 1 species